AAUUGAAAUUUUACCAAAAGGAAGGAAGUGGACAGAAAUGGAUUUGCACCAUUCUGUCCAACCAGAGUCCUUGCUCCUAAGCACAGCAUCAUUUUCCUUCUCGUUAAUUAUCCCUUUUAACAGCAACGAAAUGACCUGGCCGGCACACGAGAACACAGAGAUGAGGCCACACCUUGUAAUUUCUGGGGUUCUGAGGGGGACCCUGGUGGUGGUUCUGGGUGCUGCGGUUCUUUCAGUAAAGAACUUCCAGGAGUUUCUAAUCAGCUGCUUUCAUCAAGAUUCUCAUAACCUUCUCCUGCUGCCGCUUUCAAGUGGGUUUGUUCCCGAGCACAUUAUUAGGAAAGCGGCUAUAAUAACUGCUUACCUGCCUCCGGCUCCGCUCCACAAACACCCGCCAAGCCCACACUGUGCAAAACAGUAGUAACACGCCCGCCUGAGAAUGGCUCCGCGGCUCCGCAUUGCUGCCUAAGAGCUUUCCUGCAUGUGAUCUCAUUUCAUCCUCACCGCAACUCCGGGCCGGGGAACUCAUGUCCCCGGUGAGGAAGUCCAGGCUUGAGAUCGGCCUCAACAGUCGGAGGUGGCAAAGCCAGGGCUUGCUCGAAGCCCCACCUUCUCACUGUUGGGGAGCAGGCUGACUCCAAGCUGUGGAAUCCUGUGCAGGGGUUAUUUUGGUAUCUGUGGGGUAAUUUCACACUGAGGCUAAGUCACCGUUUUGGGUUCAGAUGGACAUGAAAUUGAAUCUCAGGGAUCCAACUUUCUAGCAAUGUACUCUGGAGCAAAUUUGGUAUUUUCCUCAUCUGUAAAAUAGGAACAAUAAAAGUACCUUUUUUUUUUUUUUUUUUUGAGUUGGAGUCUUGCUCUGUUAACCCAAGCUUCAGUGCAGUGGCGCCAUCUUGGCUCACUGCAACUUCUGCCUCCCAGGUUCAAGUGAUUCUCCUGCCUCAGCCUCCCAAGUAGCUGGGAUUACAGGCACCUGCCACCGUGCUUGGCUGAUGUUUGUAUUUUUAGUAGAGACAAAGUUUUGCCACGAUGGCCAGGCUGGUCUCAAACUCCUGGCCUCAAGUGGUCUGCCCGCUUCAGCCUCCCAAAGUGCUGGGAUUACAGGCAUGAGCCACUGUGCCUGGCCAAAAAUACCUUCUGGAGAGUGUUGCUGGAGUUACAGAUGAUAUGUUAUUGUGAUAUGGUAUCAGCAACAGUCAUCUCAGAAGGUGCAGCAUCUUGGAAAAUUUUCUUGUGUGCGCUUCAUCUACUGUCUCAGAUAGAGUCACUAUACAUUCAAAAGUACAGAUCUUCCUCCACUAGCUAACAAAGUCACCUCCUUAUCCUCAAGUCUAUGUUCCCAGUUCAGGAUGGGCCUGGGUGAUGCCUCAUUCCCCAUGGCUCCAGGGCCUCUGAUGCUGCCACUUUGUCAGUGGCUGGCUCAGCUCAGGCAAGGCCCCUCUCCCAGCUAACCAUAGCAUAAGCCUGAAUCGAUCCCUGUCUCAGGGCCAUUUGGAGGAUUAACUAAUCCAUCAUGGGGGAAACCUUUGAAAUGUGCCAAUGUGGCUGAGGCUAUUGUCAGGCAGAGCAGAAACUGAGUUUACUGGUUCCCCCGUUUCCGAGACUUUCAAGCUGGACUCACUCUCAUGUGGGUGAAAUCCCAGCAGGUGCAGGUUGCACUGAGCUCACCAAGCCGUCUAUCUGCCCCACCUGACGCUGGAUCUUUUUGACCUAUCUCUGUUUCUUUAAGGGACAGUAAGGGUGAGAAGAUAAAGGGAUCAGGAUUCCAGACACUGAAGAGCUUUUGUUUGUGUUUUUAAUAGAACUGAACACAUUAAAUUUCCCCUUUUGGCAUCAUCAGUCUAUGGACUGAAAACAUAGUUCUGAGAUUAUACCUUUCCGAUUUUAUGUUUUGCAAAUCUCGAAGGUCCCUGGAAAUCUACAGGGUACAUCUUUUUUCACCCUCUGAGAUGUGAGCUCCAUAAUAAUAAAACCUAACUCAGC
rnacentral:lncRNA from 10 species